rnacentral:misc_RNA from 1 species
GUGAGUCAUCGAAUCUUUGAACGCACAUUGCGCCUCCUGUAACAAGGAGGCAUGCCUGUCUGAGCGUCAUUUAAAUCAAUAAACCCAUCUGGGUUUGUGUUGGGCCCCGCCCAUAGGGCGUCGCCUCAAAGAAAUUGGUCUAAUGAGCGGAUGAGACCCAUUAGGGCUGACCGUUCAGAGACCCUAAGCCUCUGACUUGACCUCAGAUCAGGUAGGACUACCGCCUGAACUUAAGCAUAUCAAUAAGCGGAGGA